AUUGAACGCUGGCGGCAGGCUUAACACAUGCAAGUCGAGCGGAGAUGAGGUGCUUGCACCUUAUCUUAGCGGCGGACGGGUGAGUAAUGCUUAGGAAUCUGCCUAUUAGUGGGGGACAACAUUCCGAAAGGAAUGCUAAUACCGCAUACGUCCUACGGGAGAAAGCAGGGGAUCUUCGGACCUUGCGCUAAUAGAUGAGCCUAAGUCGGAUUAGCUAGUUGGUGGGGUAAAGGCCUACCAAGGCGACGAUCUGUAGCGGGUCUGAGAGGAUGAUCCGCCACACUGGGACUGAGACACGGCCCAGACUCCUACGGGAGGCAGCAGCGGGGAAUAUUGGACAAUGGGGGGAACCCUGAUCCAGCCAUGCCGCGUGUGUGAAGAAGGCCUUAUGGUUGUAAAGCACUUUAAGCGAGGAGGAGGCUACUGAGACUAAUACUCUUGGAUAGUGGACGUUACUCGCAGAAUGAGCACCGGCUAACUCUGUGCCAGCAGCCGCGGUAACAC
rnacentral:rRNA from 1 species